GCGCUACUUUUGCCUCAGUUGAGUUGAUGCUUUGCAAAGGACAGUCAUCCUCAUGUUCAAAUAAAUCACUUUGAGUGGACAAAGAAGACAUUCUGUGUCCAAUCUGAAGGGUGCCUGAAAGCACAAUGGAUAGAAAUCAUAAACCGUUGAGAAAAAUUAUUCUAAAAGCUGGGACCCUCCAAGCUAGUGCUGGAGAGCAGGUCCUCCAGACAGACAUCACUGACCAUGAUGGACUAAGGCUGCCAGCCCUGGUAGACUGCCCCAUUGACAGCCCCCUAAAGG